GGCAGCCACCCUUAAGGAAGGAGCUAAGGAAACAGCAGAGCCGCCCAUCCUGACUUCAGAGCCACAGACAGCACAGCUCUGUCUCAGGAGGAAGUGUGUCACUUCUCAAACUGUCUGGUUUUCAGGCCCAGAGCAAAUCUAAACAAAGUCUCCAAAGUAAUCACCAAAUGUAAGAACGUAACUUGAUGAGCUUUGCUAUAACUGAAUAGACUUCAUACACAUGCUGUGUGGUCAAGAUGGCUCUUCACGACAGCCUCAGAUUUGGUGGCUGAGGAGAGCUUCAGAAAGUUGCAAGGCAAUGACCCUGCAUCCAUAAACUCAGACAAGCCUACAGCUGCC